ACGUUCCCGGUUACAGAUUCGUUUCAUUAAACCUUUUCUUAACUCCAUCAACCACAAUCUGGCCUUGAAUGUGAGCUUCUCUUCUAAGAGGCGGUGUUACUGCGAAUAUAAAAAGUUGAGGUCAGGUUGCUGCGUUGAUUUCCUCUCCUUGACGAAGGGAAACAUGAACGGUUAGUGGCUGCACUCAAUCGAUUCGUUUGGGUUUCUUCUUAAAUCGUUAUGGACGUCAAUACGCUUCUCCUUGAAGCCAAGAUGAUGAUUUAAAGUCAAAGUCUUUACAAACUGGGUUUGUCUCUGUAAAUGGUCUUGGCGAUAAGAAGAGCUUUGGUUGCGGUUUCUGUAUUACAGUCAAGAGAUUGCCAGGUAAAAAAGAAUUACUAAUGCUCUGCUUCAGAGAAGGUAUGAAGAUACAUAUGGGGAAAUUCAUUGAUGGUACUGUACUAAGAUAAAGGCGUCUUAGUAUAUUAAGACGAGAGUCUGUAGUGGGGACAGGUAAAGCUCAUAUGUUAUAUAUACCAUUUGAGUCAAAUAUCAUAUGUAAUUUUUUUGCUCGAGUCGAUUUUAUUUUGAAACAAUGUUUUUGUUUUAAAAAAAUAGCUUAUUGUAUGAUAGUUUUAAGAAAUCUGCAUGAUAUUACUAAAGAUGACAAAUCUCAUCUAUGCCCAACAGAGUGGUUAUUCCGUGUUGAUAUUGUAAAUAAAUGGAAAGAGUCUUCAACGGUUUCAGUGCUGCCCAAAUGUUUAGAGGAUAUCAAGAUGUCUGGUACGGCCUUACUGGGGAGAAGAGCAUUGUCUUUAAGCCAAUAUACUUUGUUUUGGGAUCUUCUCGAGAUUCCUUUUGUCAAAAAGAGGAAUAGAAUUAUUUUGGUUCAAUGGAAAAUUAGCUCAGAAGUCCAGUGAGAAAGUGUUGAAGGAAUCAAUGAAACCAUCACAACACAGUUCUAAAGUAGUUUUGUUACUUCAUAAAUUGGUCUAAACAAGCAGAAGAAGAAGGCUAAAGGGAAACCAGAACAUUAUCUUCUGGUUGGACACAAAAGGCGUGGAAUGCAUUGGAUUGCUUGCUGCAAGAAAAUAAACCAGAGGAGAAGAAGGUGGUCAAGUAAAGUGAUGGAAGAUCUAACUCCAUUGAUGGAGCUAGAAUAGGAGGAAGCUUUAUGCUUGGAUCAACAAGUUCUGCAACCAAGUCUCCACCUACAAGUGUAGACAAGAUAAUCAGUUUUUAUGUUUUUUUGCAUUUAUUAUUUGAUCCCAACAAUCCAGAAACUACAGUUGAUAGUG